rnacentral:rRNA from 1 species
CAGUCGCCGCGGUAAUACAGAGGGUGCGAGCGUUAAUCGGAUUUACUGGGCGUAAAGCGUGCGUAGGCGGCUUCUUAAGUCGGAUGUGAAAUCCCUGAGCUUAACUUAGGAAUUGCAUUCGAUACUGGGAAGCUAGAGUAUGGGAGAGGAUGGUAGAAUUCCAGGUGUAGCGGUGAAAUGCGUAGAGAUCUGGAGGAAUACCGAUGGCGAAGGCAGCCAUCUGGCCUAAUACUGACGCUGAGGUACGAAAGCAUGGGGAGCAAACAGGAUUAGAUACCCCGGUAGUCCCUGUCUCUUAUAC